rnacentral:lncRNA from 1 species
AAAACUUUGCUUUUAGUGAACGUCAUUUGUGGGUUUAGGGGCGUCGUCACUUCCAUUCCAAUGUUGAGCGAGUGGUUGGAAAACUACAAAUCUAUAUUGUACGAAUUAUUCGGCAAAUUGAAUUCUCAUAAUUGACAAUCAGCAUUGCUGUCAUUAGGGAAUUGUCAUUAAGUACCUACAGAACAACCAUUAUUUCUAGUUUGUCCUGCACAAUGACGAUCACUUAGACGCUUGAUGAACGUAAACAGUGCAGGGAUACAGGCGACCCCCUC